rnacentral:tRNA from 1 species
GCCGAGGUGUCGGAACUGGCAGACGAUAUGGAUUUAAAAUCCAUUGCCCGUCAGGGCGUGAGGGUUCAAAUCCCUCCCUCGGCA